AUGGGUGCACGACUCAUCUGCUGGGUAGCGCUUUGCCUUCUCGGGCCAGGCGUUUUUGAUGCUGCAGUUAUUCAAACUCCAGGACAGCUGAUCAAAACGAAAGGACAAAAAGCAAAGAUGAACUGUUACCCUGAAAAGGGCCACAGUGCUGUUUUCUGGUAUCAACAGAAAGAGAGCAAAGAGUUAAAGUUCCUGAUUUACUUUCUGAAUCAAAAGCCUCUUGACCAAAUAGACAUGGUCAAGGAGCGAUUCUCAGCUGAGUGUCCCUCAAGUUCACUCUGCAGCCUGGAAAUAAAGUCUUCUGAAGCAGAGGACUCUGCGCUCUACCUCUGUGCCGGCAGCCAGUCCACAGCACUGAAAUGUGCACUUCCUUCCAUUCAAAAACCCUCCCUGGAGCCAAUUUAA